GCCCUGGUAAGCGCGAGGCCGCGGGUUCGAUUCCCGCCCGGGGCA
rfam:Asian citrus Psyllid, Diaphorina citri - Florida Strain, whole genome shotgun sequence.